UACGUAGGUGGCGAGCGUUGUCCGGAUUUACUGGGCGUAAAGGGAGCGUAGGCGGACUUUUAAGUGAGAUGUGAAAUACCCGGGCUCAACUUGGGUGCUGCAUUUCAAACUGGAAGUCUAGAGUGCAGGAGAGGAGAAUGGAAUUCCUAGUGUAGCGGUGAAAUGUGUAGAGAUUAGGAAGAACACCAGUGGCGAAGGCGAUUCUCUGGACUGUAACUGACGCUGAGGCUCGAAAGCGUGGGGAGCAAACAGGAUUAGGAUACCCCCGUAGU
rnacentral:rRNA from 1 species